GGACGAACGCUGGCGGCGUGCUUAACACAUGCAAGUCGAACGGUGAAGCCCUUCGGGGUGGAUCAGUGGCGAACGGGUGAGUAACACGUGGGAAAUCUGCCCUGCACUCUGGGACAAGCCUUGGAAACGAGGUCUAAUACCGGAUAUGACCUUCCUCUGCAUGGGGGUUGGUGGAAAGCUCCGGCGGUGCAGGAUGAUCCCGCGGCCUAUCAGCUUGUUGGUGGGGUAACGGCCCACCAAGGCGACGACGGGUAGCCGGCCUGAGAGGGCGACCGGCCACACUGGGACUGAGACACGGCCCAGACUCCUACGGGAGGCAGCAGUGGGGAAUAUUGCACAAUGGGCGAAAGCCUGAUGCAGCGACGCCGCGUGAGGGAUGACGGCCUUCGGGUUGUAAACCUCUUUCAGCAGGGAAGAAGCGCAAGUGACGGUACCUGCAGAAGAAGCACCGGCUAACUACGUGCCAGCAGCCGCGGUAAUACGUAGGGUGCGAGCGUUGUCCGGAAUUAUUGGGCGUAAAGAGCUCGUAGGCGGCCUGUCGCGUCGGAUGUGAAAGCCCGGGGCUUAACCCCGGGUCUGCAUUCGAUACGGGCAGGCUAGAGUGUGGUAGGGGAGAUCGGAAUUCCUGGUGUAGCGGUGAAAUGCGCAGAUAUCAGGAGGAACACCGGUGGCGAAGGCGGAUCUCUGGGCCAUUACUGACGCUGAGGAGCGAAAGCGUGGGGAGCGAACAGGAUUAGAUACCCUGGUAGUCCACGCCGU
rnacentral:rRNA from 1 species